rnacentral:rRNA from 1 species
UACGUAGGUGGCAAGCGUUGUCCGGAUUUACUGGGCGUAAAGGGCGUGCAGGCGGUCUGUUAAGUUCAGGGUGAAAGCUCCCGGCUCAACUGGGAGAGGUCCUUGGAUACUGGCAGACUUGAGGGAGGUAGAGGAGAGUGGAAUUCCCGGUGUAGUGGUGAUAUGCGUAGAUAUCAGGAGGAACACCGGUGGCGAAGGCGGCACUCUGGGCCGGUACUGACGCUGAGGCACGAAAGCCAGGGGAGCAAACGGG